rnacentral:rRNA from 1 species
GACGGAGGGUGCAAACGUUGUUCGGAAUCACUGGGCAUAAAGCGCACGUAGGCGGUCCGCUAAGUCAGUUGUGAAAUCCCUCGGCUCAACCGAGGAACUGCACCUGAUACUGGCGGGCUAGAGGACGGUAGGGGUGAGUGGAACUCCAGGUGGAGCGGUGAAAUGCGUAGAUAUCUGGAGGAACACCGGUGGCGAAGGCGGCUCACUGGACCGUGUCUGACGCUGAGGUGCGAAAGCUAGGGUAGCAAACGGG